rnacentral:lncRNA from 1 species
AAAAUGGCUUAUUCUGAUUGGUGGAGUUGAUGUGAAUGCAGGGAGGGCCAUUAUCAUUUAUUAUUCAUCCACCAAUCAAAAGGAGCUAUUUUUAUUGGAGUUAGGGACUAUUGUGUGCCCUUGGGCACACCAUAGAAAAUCUCUAUAAAUAAUUCUGAAAUUUUAUUUAGUUCUGACAUCGUUUUCAUAAGUCUUUUCCGUUUAUAGUCAGAUCACGGGACCACCCCAAGCUGUCAUUGUACACUAAUUCAUCCCUCUUUAUAUAUAGAGAUCCUCACACGACACAAUGAAACCCUCAACUACAAAUACACAGAGUCUGUUAAUACACUGCAUCAGGAGAAAUUCAUACAUGGCUACAUUAAAAUCUUCUUUGUUCUUGGUGGUUCCUUUGUUAAUAAGUCUAGUUUUAGCCAGUGCUGCAGAGGCUAGACAGCUUUCUCUCCAGUCUCUACAAACCAAAGAAUCUGCACUCUUUAUCUCCUCUGCUCCUGGCAAAUCGAGUCCAGAUACGAAGAUGGAUGCGGAUUCAAAGGAAGGAAACUCGAAACUUUUUAGGACACUGGGGAUGGUGUGCAGAUGUUGUGAUAGUGCAGGAGGAGACUGCAGAACCAAAUGGCUCGAACCAUGUCCGAAUCUCGAGUGUCGUCCGUGGAAACAAAUUCGAUCAUAAAUAUUAGUUGCAUAAGAUUUCAGUAUUUAGUUACGCGCUAGUCAUGUACAUAAAUCGAGCAAAAUUCUACAUACCAGAUACCAGCUUUACCUUUACAAUAGAUGAGAUUCUUAUGGAUGAAGCACAGAGUUCACACAUGCUUUAUUUUGCAAAUUUUAGUUCUCCGCUUCUUAUUUCCUUUUCUAAUGCAAUAUCGUGUUCUUGAUUCCUUGAAUCGAACCAAAACCCGGGACUAUAGAGCAUAGACCCUUGUUAUCGGAAUAACUUUUUUUUUACUCCCUCGGUUUUUUAACAUAUGACGUUUGACUUUUUGGUACACUGGGUAGUUAAAAAUAUUACUCCCUCCGUCUCAAUUUAUAGGUCCUUUUUAAAAUAAACAUUUAUUAAGAAAAAAAUUGGUAAGAUAGAAUCUUAUCUCAUGUUUCAUUAAUUAGUGCAUUGAUAAGUGAGAAUAUAGUUGAGUUUCAAAAAAAUCACAAUUAAUAUGUAGAUAAAUUUCUAUUGAAAGAAGAGAGGGACAAGUAUUUUGGGACAAUUAUUUUUUUGCAAAAUGGACCUAUAAAUUGAGACGGAGGGAGUAUUUUUGAAUUUUUUUUUCUAAAAAAGUAUUAUGUAAUCAAAAUUAUAAUUCACAAAAAAAUUAUUUAAAAAUAAUAAUUUUUACUAUCCGGUCAAUCCACCUAAAUAUACAUGCUAAAGUCAAAAGUGACAUAUAAAAAAAACAAAAGGAAUACUCUGAGGGAGUACUCGGCAGAAGAAAGUAAUUCUUUUGGUGAACUACUAAUUAUUAUAAAGAUUUCGGAACUAUAAACUUGUACUAUUCGAUGAAAAGAUCAAUCAAUACUGCACAGUAUAAUUCAGAUAACAAGAUUCCAAAAUUUUACUCCCUCCGUCUCAAUUUAUAUGUCCACUUUGGAAAAAAAAAUUGUCCCAAAAUACUUGUCCCUCUCUUUUUUCAAUACAAAUUUAUCUACAUAUUAAUUGUGAUUUUUUUGAAACUCAACAUCAUUCUCAUUUCUUAAUGGGCACACUCCAAAAGGAGAGACACACAAACACGCAAAAAAUUGGGUUUUAUUGAAGGAAAACUAACAAGAUUAAAAGAUAAUGAAGGGAUUGGGGCUUUCCACCGGAGAAAACCAGUGGAAGCCCCUCGAUUUACUUGAGCGUGGACAAACCUAACAGAGAGGAGAGGGGGCGGUGCGGCUAGGGUUUUAGUAUUUUCUUAAUUUUUGUUCUAAGAAUGCGAAGACUAUUAUUAAUAAAUAUAAUUGGUGUUUCUGAACAUUGGGCUAACAAUGGUUUUUAUGUGGUAUGGUCAAUUGCGAUGUUAUUAUUUCCAGAGGUGUUGGUGCAAUUUGGAUCGCUUGGGAUGUCUUUGAUUUCGUUUUUAGCUUCAAGAAUUGUUAAAUUCUAUGUGUUAAACGAUCAGGAAACAAAUCAUCUAAUUGUUUUUAUUAGUAUGUUAUUUGUUUUACCACCUGGUUGUAUUGGCAGUUGGGGGUUUGUCCCGACCGUAUUAUGUUCAAGUUAAUGAAAUUUUCUUGCAUUUGUCAAAAAAAAAAUCACUAUAUUUAUUGUGAUUUUUUUGAAACUCAACCAUAUUCUCACUUAUCAAUGCACUAAUUAAUGAUACAUGAGAAAAGAUUCUAUCUAACCAACUUUUUCUUAAUAUGCGUGUUUAUUCCAAAAUGGACCUAUAAAUUGAGACGGAGUGAGUAAAAUUUUUAUAAUCCAGGAUUUUCGCCGCAGCUAAUUAUCAACGAGAUUGACUUUAUGUAAACUGGAAUAUGCCGCCCAAAUAAAGAGGUUCACAUCUCUUAUUCUUCAAGCUUCUUUUGCAAACACCAUAAAUAUUUUUUGACAAUUGCAAACCACGACAGAGUCUUAUGUGACCAUUGACGGAUGCUCGCUCGUACGGCUCGUGGUACUCGUAUCUUAAUCAAGGACGAAGUCACCAAAUAUACGUAGAGGGGGUAAAAAAAAUAAUUCGUAAACACAUUUAAAUAUUUAAUGUAACAAAUACAUAAAAACAUUAGCAUAAAUUUUGUAAUAAAGCUCUAUGUUCCUUCAAAUCACGAAACACACUUAUAAUUGAGUCCGUACGAAAUUUUUUUACUAUUUCUCUUUCAAUUUAAAUAAGCUUACAAUGAUCGAGAAACUCAUCAUCCAUCUUGUUUUGGAGUUUUGUUUUGCUAGUAUUCAUUGAAGAAAAUGUGCGUUUUGUGAUAGCGGUCGAAACCGGCACGAUCAACACCAACUUAAUUAAUUUAUAAACAAGUGAAUAAAUAUCCAACUUCCUUGAUAGUACCAACGAUUGACACAACUCAGAAAUACCAAAUAAUUUUAUAAAUUCUGGUUUUGUAAUUUCACCCUGAAAAUGAUGUAAUUGAAUUCUUAAAACUUCUUUUUCCAUAUAUGUGAAGUCUUCUGGAUAAUAUUUAUACACUAGCUUACAUAUAUCAUCCACUUUAAAACCUUUGCACCUCUCUUGCUAACACGAGUCCACGAUAAAAUCUAUUUAUCGUUGGCAGAAGAGUAAGAAAUACUCCUUCCGUUUCAAUUUACAUGUCCACUUUCAAGAAAAUUUUUUGUUUCAGAUUACUUGUCCACUUCAACUUUCAAUGCAAAAUCAUAUUUCCAAAGUCAAUUCUACUCCACAUAUCUCUUAUUUAUAUUUCCUAGAUCAAUCUCACUCCACAUAUUUUGAUCAUUUAAUGCAAUUAAUUUGUGAACAUCCAUUUUUCUUAAACUGUGUGAUUUUUUUAAAGUGGACAUCUAAUUUGAAACGGAAGGAGUAAACUUGUUAACUAUAAAGCCUGGUCUUCAUGGAAUAAUUAAGUUGAUUGAGAUGGUUAAAGUGGAUACUUAAACAUUUACGUGGGCAUUGUUGCAAAAGUAAGAUACUCAGUGUGUUUAGGAAUACAUGUUCUGGGCAUAAAAGCUAAGAAGCUCGUUUUCUCUCUUUUGUACUCCGUUUGGCAAAAGUUUUGAAGUGCUUAUUCCAACCAAAAAAAGCUCAGGAAAAAAAAACUUGGUUUCCUAGCUUUUCUUCACACCCAGCUUCUAACUUCUUUCUAGGCCAACUCAGCAGAUCUCUCUCGCUGCAAACAAGAAGCUGGUAAUUGGCUGCAUUAUAUUCUGUUUCAUGCUAGAUUGCUAUAGUUUUUGACCAGUAAUUUUCUUAUUUUUUGUUCUUGCUAAACUAUUUCAUGUAUUAAUAAUAAAAGAUAUCUUUUUACUUGUAUUAAAUAAAUAUAAAUAUUAAAUAAAUGAUGUACCUUUUUAUUUGUAUUAUCUGCAGUUAUUAAUUUUUUCUUUUAAUGCAAAGUUUAAUAUUUUGUACUUGUAAAAUAUUUCAUGUAUUAAUAAUAAAAGAUCUUAUAUUAUAAUAACUAGCUUCUUAACCCGUGCAAAGCACGGGUUGUUUUAAAUUAUUUUUUUUAAUGUAUAUUAUAUCUUUUUUUCAUCUUUUUUAAAUUGAGAUUAUUUAUAUUACAAAAAUAAAUUAAAUUUAUUUAUAUUUUAAGUCAUAUUAUAUUGAUGUCUAUAUGUACACAUAUCCUCACUAUAAUAAUAUUUAUUAAAUUAUGAAUACAAAAAAUAUACACUAUUUAAAAUUUUAUUAUAUAAUUAAAUUACCACCCACCUAAAUUUACUCAUUAUUAUUUUUUAUUUUUUUUGCUGAGUGCGCAUUAUUGUUGUAUGGGCUUAUUGCACUUUGUAACCCCACACUUUAGCUGAUUAGCAAAUCAGACCCCAUAUUUUGAAACGUGACAGUUCGUAACCCUAAGUUUCAUUUAGCUUUCGGUUUGUAACCCUGGCCCACACAUCCGUUAAAAACAACCGUUAAAUUUAACUGUUAGGGAGGUAACAGUGUGUAUAUUAGUUUCCGACAGCUACUUUACCCCUUGUGACCUCUCAAAAUUUAUGUAUUAUAUUUUAAAAUUAUUUCUAAACACACACAACAAUAUAUAUUAAAUUACAAAUAAUAUUUAAAACAUGUAUUUGUUUUAAAAUUUUAAAAUAAGUUAUAUCGUUUAUAUAGAAAUAAAUAUAUUUUCAGGUUCUAAAUUUAAAUACGUAUUUUAAAAAUUAUGUUAAAUUGUUUUACAUCGUUGUGUGUGUUCAGAAAUAAUUUCCAAGUAUGAUACAUAAAUUUUGAGGGGUCACGUGGAGUAAAGUGGCUGUUGGAAACUAAUAUACACACUGUUAUCUCUCAAACAGUUAAAGUUGGGUCAGGGUUACAAAUCGAAAGCUAAACGAAACUUAGGGUUAUAAACUUUUAUGUUUCAAAGUGUGGGGUCUGAUUUGUUAAUCAGCCAAAGUGUGGGGUUACAAAGUGCAAUAAGCUCUUGUUGUAUUAGAUAUAUAAUAGAAUUUGGCAAAAUUCGGUUAAAAUCGAUGACUAAUUGGGCAAAAUUGGAUUAAUUGGUUGAAAAUUACAAAAUUUGUGGGGAAAGUUUAAAAUUUUAAAAAUUAUUAUAUAUAUUUAUUAUUUUUACAUAUAUAAAAUAAAAUUAAUUAUGAAUAAUUUAUGUAUCAUUCUGAUUAAUCACCGAUUUUCUGAUUUCUGCUUCUUAUAACAUUGGAUAUUUAUUUAUUUAUUAUUAAAUCAUGAAUAUAAAUAUAUUAUAUACGUAUUGGAAUUUUAAUUAUGAAGUAAUUUAAUGUAUAUUAAUGAUUAGACAUUAAUGUUUAAUUAAUACUUUAGUAUUAAAUGUCAAUAAUGACCUUCAUAUAUAUAAAUAUAUGUAUAAUAAGUAGGGGCAGAUUUGUCAUUUUGAAUUAAAUUACUCAUUGUUCUUGUAUUAGAUAUAUGGGUGAGGUUCAAAUUAGAACCCAUAUUAAGUUAGAACUUAGAACUCAUAUAAAAUCAUUAGAUUAUUGUUAAAUCAAUGGUCAUGAUCAAACACUGCAUUUAAUAUUAGU